rnacentral:tRNA from 1 species
GGGCGAUUAGUUCAGUGGUAGAACGCGUUCCUGAUAAGAACGAGGCCGUAGGUUCGAUUCCUACAUCGCCCA